rnacentral:rRNA from 1 species
UAGGGAAUCUUCGGCAAAUGGGGGCAACCCUGACCGAGCAACGCCGCGUGAGUGAAGAAGGUUUUCGGAUCGUAAAGCUCUGUUGUAAGAGAAGAACGUGUGUGAGAGUGGAAAGUUCACACAGUGACGGUAACUUACCAGAAAGGGACGGCUAACUACGUGCCAC